AUAGAAAGCAAAUUUUUUGUUGAAUAAUCUGAUCCGAAACUAGCGGAUUGCUUUGAACAAGUAGAUGCAGAUUCCUUCUUCUUCAAGAACUCUAUUUGAGCAAAGACUUUCGCUUAUGAUAGGAAACUAAUUAAUCUUUCACUAUAAAAGGGCUUCUAUAGUUCAGAUUUUUCCAUCAGCUGAAACGAAAUUUGCAUCAUCAUUAUUCUUCAUGUUUUCUUUCUUUGGUGUUGAAUUCUUGGGAUAGGAGCUUGUGAUCAAUCUUUACUUUUGUGUUGUCCCGAAUACAUAAGCUUUGUAAUUUCUUUAUUAAUUUCCCUCUUUGUGUAAAACAUCUUGCUGUA